AAUCCUUUAACGAGGAACUAUUGGAGGGCAAGUCUGGUGCCAGCAGCCGCGGUAAUUCCAGCUCCAAUAGCGUAUAUUAAAGUUGUUGCGUCUAAAAAGCUCGUAGUUUGAAAACUUGCCUUGGCUUACAACAGACGUCUAAGGGCGUCACCGUUUGUCGAGAGCAAAUAUGGGUGACUGUUCUUGCCUUCUUCACUGAUUGGCUCGUAAAAGUCAUCGAAGAUCACUUUGAUUAAAUUAGGGUGCUCAAAGCAAGUGUGCUACUUGAAUAUGAAUGCAUGGAAUGAUGGAAUAUGUUGUUGUUCUAUUUGUUGGUUUUUUGAAUGACGAAAUGAUUGAAAGGAACUGUUGGGGGCAUUCGUAUUGUUGUGAGAGAGGUGAAAUUCUUAGACCAUAGCAAGACGAACUACUGCGAAAGCAUUUGCCAAGAAUGUUUUCAUUGAUCAAGAACGAAAGUUAGAGGUUCGAAGGCGAUCAGAUACCGCCCUAGUUCUAACCAUAAACUAUGCCGACUAGCAAUUUGCUUUGUAUUUUUAUGACUAAGUGAGAGACCACGGGAAACCAAAGUAGGGUUAUGGGGGAAGUAUGGUUGCAAAGCUGAAACUUAAAGGAAUUGACGGAAGGGCACCACCAGGAGUGGAGCCUGCGGCUUAAUUUGACCCAACACGGGAAAACUUACCUGGUCCUGACACUAGAAGGAUUGACAGAUUGAUAGCUCUUUCUUGAUUUGGUGGAUGGUGGUGCAUGGCCGUUCUUAGUUGGUGGAGUGAUUUGUCUGGUUAAUUCCGAUAACGAACGAGACUCUAGCCUAUUAAAUAAUAUGCGGAAUCAAUUUCUCCCGCGUUAUUUCUUAAUGGGAUCAAGCGUGUUUAACGCUUUGAAACAGAGCAAUAACAGGUCUGUGAUGCCCUUAGAUGUUCGGCGCUGCACGCGCGCUACAUUGAAGAACAAAGUGAGCCCUCUGGCUUUUAACAAAGCUAGAAAUCUUUUAAUGUUCUUCUUAAUGGGGAUAGGGGAUUGCAAUUGUGCCCCUUGAACGAGGAAUUCCCAGUAAGUGCUAGUCAUUAGCUAGUACUGAUUACGUCCCUGCCCUUUGUACACACCGCCCGUCGCUACUACCGAUUGAAUAGUUUAGUGAGAUCAUCUGAGUGUUUGUAUGUGCAUUCUGUGCUUGUAUGGUGUACGAAGAAGAUCAAACUUGAUUAUUUAGAGGAAGUAAAAGUCGUAACAAGGUUUCCGUAGGUGAACCUGCGGAAG
rnacentral:rRNA from 1 species